rnacentral:lncRNA from 1 species
AGGAGAAAAAGCUGGAUUCGGACGAAAGAAUUUUUAGUGUUGACAUGCAGAAAGUGUUACUUUUGCCAAAAAUGUCAACCAAGAACUCGUUUUUUAUAUCAAGGCUCGUCGUGUUCAACGAAACAUUUGCCUCAUUAGGGAAUGACGAAAAUAUUUGUGUUAUGUGGCACGAGGCCAUCAGAGGCAGAAGUGCAGCUGACGUGACUUCAGCAUAUUAUAAUAUCAUGAAAAACCUAAGUUCUAAAGUAUCAAAGCUUACAUUUUGAGUGGAUAAUUGCUCCGCCCACAACAAAAAUUGGACAUUAUAUUCAUCUAUAAUUUGUUUUGUAAAUUCGGAAUGGGGGCCAAAUGAGAUAACAUUCAAAUAUUUUGAGCCUGGCCAUUCUUUCAUGGCGGCCGACUCAGUACACGGUCGAAUUAGUUCACAAAUGAAGAAGCACCCCAAUAUAUACGAUUUUCAACAGCUUCUAAAUAUAAUCGAACAAUCCUCAAAGAAAACUAAAUGUUUAGCUCUCAAUAUCUCAGAUUUUUUUCCUUUUACAGAUGGUUGUAAGAAACGUGAAAACAACAAUAUUCCAUUACUUGAUAA